AAAAAAGGUCUUGGUAUUUCUAUUUUCUUAGUAAAACUUUGGGUCUUCAUAAUCAUUUCCCUAAAUGUUAGGAUAUAACUGCUAUUUUUCUAUUUAUAGGUUUAUGUGAUUUUAUAAAGUUGACAAACGUAUAAACAAAAAAAAAAGAAAAAUUUAAAAUUUAAAAUAAUAAAAAAUAAAAGCAAUAGAAUAAGUUGAGAGUUUGUGUGGGAGGCAGGCCGGGGGAGGAGGGCCUUUGUCAUGGCCCCCAAAUGGCCAAAACUCUAGUAAUCCUACCUGACAAUUCUUUUGUCAUUUUCCCAUUUCUCUAGACGUUUCUUCAAUUUCCAUUUGUCUCUGUCUCUCUCAUUUGUCCAUCUCUUCUGCAUAUGUUUCUCAUUCUGUUGCUACUGCCUCUUCAUAUGAAUCAAAUCACAUUUUUAACAAUUUUUCACCUGGUUCGUUAUUCACAACUCUUUAUUUUUUAAUAUUUGAGGGAGUGGUAAACAUUUCUAAUAGGAGUCAAUAACCGAUUCACAAUAAUUUAUUAUAAUAUGCUACCGAUAAAACUAAUAACUUAUGAGUAAUAAUAGAUAUCCUAAAUUUUUUUAACUUGAAUUUCAUCCUAAAUAAUAUGGUAUUUAUUGAGUAAUUGUUUACAAGAUUCAAAUGAACUGAUUGUAUUAUCUCACCAAACAAUUAAUAAAUGUCACGAUAAUUUUUUGAAUAAAAAAUUUAGGAUGUAUAAUACUACUCUUAAUUUAUGACUAUUUAUCAAUGAGCACGAGGAUACAAGUACACUAGAGAUACCUUUUUAAGCAAUUUCUCUUUUAAAUUUUAAAAUUGCAUUGACUAUUUAUUGGUGGGCUUUGUGGGGUUGACUACAAAUCAGUAAGGAAUUUUUUUUUUAAAAUUACUGAAAUAACUGAAAAUUCCAUCCCCUUCAAGUGCUGCACAAUCCUUUGAGGAAGUGCAAUAACUGCACAGACACUUGCCCAAAUCCAAUCAAAUAAUCCAACGAAAUUUUCCUUUCACUUGCUUCAAGUAAAGAAGAAAAACUUGUAGCGGACACAUACUUCUCAGCCACACCUUCAUAUUUUAGUAACAGGCUAACAACAUUGGAAAUAAGGGCAAACAAGUCUUUUACUUGAAUAACUGACAAUUCCGUCAAAGUUAACGGUAAAAUUCACUAAUUAGGGUGUGCGGUGAUAGUUGUUGAAACAUUAGGGUUGGGGCUAAAGUUUGUUGAAACAUAUUGGGUUGGGCGAAAAAUAACCCAAAAAAAACCCUAAAAAGAGGUUAAAAAGUAAAAAUUAAGAAGGGAAAUUAAUUUCUAUUGCUCCCUCCCCUGAUGUAGUUGAUCUUUUAACUGUAUGUUUUGAAAAUCGUGCACUCGAUGAGUUGAGCGACCAUGUCUCUUCUUAUCUGCAAUUAGUCAACAUCAAGGAUUUGUCCCCCGCACGCCCCAAAAACUGUUUCCGGUAAUUUUAUAUCUACUUUUGACUCACAUAGUUUCAAAAUUAUUUUUUUCAUACACGCCUUUUUGACGCGAAAAUUUCAAAAUACCUUGACGAACAAGUAACACAACUAACUGCACAUUACGAAAAUUUAAAAUAAUUUUUUUUUUUGUAUGAUUUAACUGUUACAUAAUGUAACUUAGCAGUUGCUUGAAAAUUAUAGAGAUUAAUUUCUUAGCACGUGAUGAUUAUUUUCUUGAUAAAUACAUUCUAAAACAUUAGGAUCGAUGUCAAUGGGUUCAUAGCAUUGUCGGGACUCGAUUUUCCUUCUAAUAGGGAUUUAUUUAGCUCCUUAUUUUAGGAGUAGAGUAGAUUUUUCUUUAGUAUUAAGUGAGGGUCAUUAUCCGGAUUGUACCAUACUAGAAUUAUAAAAGAAAAUAUUGAUUGUAAAUAUUAGUAGAAUUCUUAUUGUAAUAUAUCAGUAUUUAAUAUAAAAAAUCAUUAUUCGGACUGUGUCAUAUUAGAAUUAUAAAAAAGAGUCUUAAUUAUUAUUUAGUUAUAAAUAUCAGUAGAGUUUUAAUUGUAAUAUGUUAAUAUUUAAAAAAAAUCAAUUUCCAAAAUACUAUUACAGUAUUUUAUUAAUCAUCAUAUUACAUGUACUAGGGUCUGGUUACGGUGCAACUGUGGUACUGUGACAUAAUUACAUUCAACCGUUAGAUGCACUUAAAGGUAGCGUUUACUUUUUGGAUUGGAUUGAGAAUCCUGGGGAGUGGGAAUCCUAGGAUUGGGAGUGUGGAGUGGGAGUGGGAGUAGGUUGUUUACUUACACUGGAAUUGAAGCAUGGAAUGGAGAUCAGAAUCCAAUUUAUGUGUUUACUUUGUCUUGGAUUGGGAGUAAAUAGUUUCAAAUUAUAAUUUUAUCCUUAUUUAAAGAAUUAUAAUUUUUAAUUACAAAACU
rnacentral:lncRNA from 1 species